rnacentral:rRNA from 1 species
UAACCUGCCCAUAAGACUGGGAUAACUCCGGGAAACCGGGGCUAAUACCGGAUAAUAUUUUGAACCGCAUGGUUCGAAAUUGAAAGGCGGCUUCGGCUGUCACUUAUGGAUGGACCCGCGUCGCAUUAGCUAGUUGGUGAGGUAACGGCUCACCAAGGCAACGAUGCGUAGCCGACCUGAGAGGGUGAUCGGCCACACUGGGACUGAGACACGGCCCAGACUCCUACGGGAGGCAGCAGUAGGGAAUCUUCCGCAAUGGACGAAAGUCUGACGGAGCAACGCCGCGUGAGUGAUGAAGGCUUUCGGGUCGUAAAACUCUGUUGUUAGGGAAGAACAAGUGCUAGUUGAAUAAGCUGGCACCUUGACGGUACCUAACCAGAAAGCCACGGCUAACUACGUGCCAGCAGCCGCGGUAAUACGUAGGUGGCAAGCGUUAUCCGGAAUUAUUGGGCGUAAAGCGCGCGCAGGUGGUUUCUUAAGUCUGAUGUGAAAGCCCACGGCUCAACCGUGGAGGGUCAUUGGAA